rnacentral:rRNA from 1 species
CCUACGGGAGGCAGCAGUGAGGAAUAUUGGUCAAUGGGCGCGAGCCUGAACCAGCCAAGUAGCGUGAAGGAUGACUGCCCUACGGGUUGUAAACUUCUUUUAUGAAGGGAUAAAGUGAGGCACGUGUGCCUUUUUGUAUGUACUUUAUGAAUAAGGAUCGGCUAACUCCGUGCCAGCAGCCGCGGUAAUACGGAGGAUCCGGGCGUUAUCCGGAUUUAUUGGGUUUAAAGGGAGCGUAGAUGGGUUGUUAAGUCAGUUGUGAAAGUUUGCGGCUCAACCGUAAAAUUGCAAUUGAUACUGGCAGGCUUGAGUACAGUUGAGGGAGGCGGAAUUCGUGGUGUAGCGGUGAAAUGCUUAGAUAUCACGAAGAACUCCGAUUGCGAAGGCAGCUUACUAAACUGCCACUGACAUUGAUGCGCGAAAGUGUGGGUAUCAAACAGGAUUAGAUACCCGAGUAGUC